rnacentral:rRNA from 1 species
GAGUUUGAUCCUGGCUCAGGAUGAACGCUAGCUACAGGCUUAACACAUGCAAGUCGAGGGGCAGCAUGGGCUUAGCUUGCUAAGCCCGAUGGCGACCGGCGCACGGGUGAGUAACACGUAUCCAACCUUCCGGUAACUCCGGUAUAGCCUUUCGAAAGAAAGAUUAAUCCCGGAUAGUAUGGUGAUUCCGCAUGGUUUCUCCAUUAAAGGAUUCCGGUUACCGAUGGGGAUGCGUUCCAUUAGGCAGUUGGCGGGGUAACGGCCCACCAAACCUACGAUGGAUAGGGGUUCUGAGAGGAAGGUCCCCCACAUUGGAACUGAGACACGGUCCAAACUCCUACGGGAGGCAGCAGUGAGGAAUAUUGGUCAAUGGGCGGAAGCCUGAACCAGCCAAGUAGCGUGAAGGAUGACUGCCCUAUGGGUUGUAAACUUCUUUUGUUUGGGAAUAAUUGUGGGUACGCGUACCCGUUUGCAUGUACCUUAUGAAUAAGGAUCGGCUAACUCCGUGCCAGCAGCCGCGGUAAUACGGAGGAUCCGAGCGUUAUCCGGAUUUAUUGGGUUUAAAGGGAGCGUACGCGGGCGCUUAAGUCAGCUGUGAAAGUUUGGGGCUCAACCUUAAAAUUGCAGUUGAUGCUGGGUGCCUUGAGUGCAGUAUAGGCAGGCGGAAUUUCGUGGUGUAGCGGUGAAAUGCUUAGAUAUCACGAAGACUCCUAUUGCGAAGGCAGCUUGCUGGAGUGUAACUGACGCUGAUGCUCGAAAGUGUGGGUAUCAAACAGGAUUAGAUACCCUGGUAGUCCA